rnacentral:misc_RNA from 1 species
AAGUCGUAACAAGGUUUCCGUAGGUGAACCUGCGGAAGGAUCAUUAUCGUACAACUGAGGUGCAAGGGCUGUCGCUGACCGUCAAAGGUCGUGCACGCCCGAGCGCUCUCACACAAUCCAUCUCACCUUUGUGCAUCACCGCGUGGGUCCCCUUUGCGGGAGGGCUUGCGUUUUCACAUAAAAACUCGAUACAGUGUAGAAUGUUUCUUUUGCGGUCACACGCAAUCAAUACAACUUUCAACAACGGAUCUCUUGGCUCUC